AUUGAACGCUGGCGGCAUGCCUUACACAUGCAAGUCGAACGGUAACAGGUCUUCGGAUGCUGACGAGUGGCGAACGGGUGCGUAAUACAUCGGAACGUGUCCAGACGCGGGGGAUAACGAGGCGAAAGCUUUGCUAAUACCGCAUACGAUCUAAGGAUGAAAGCAGGGGACCGCAAGGGCUAGCGAGGUUGGAGCGGCCGAUGGCAGAUUAGGUAGUUGGUGGGAUAAAAGCUUACCAAGCCGACGAUCUGUAGCUGGACUGAGAGGACGACCAGCCACACUGGAACUGAGACACGGCCCAGACUCCUACGGGAGGCAGCAGUGGGGAAUUUUCGACAAUGGGCGAAAGCCUGAUCCAGCAAUGCCGCGUGCAGGAUGAAGGCCUUCGGAUUGUAAACUGCUUUUGUACGGAACGAAAAGGCUCUUGCUAAUACCUGCGGCACUUGACGGUACCGUAAGAAUAAGCACCGGCUAACUACGUG
rnacentral:rRNA from 1 species